GAUGAACGCUGGCUACAGGCUUAACACAUGCAAGUCGAGGGGAAACGACGGGGAAGCUUGCUUCCCCGGGCGUCGACCGGCGCACGGGUGAGUAACGCGUAUCCAACCUGCCUCUGACUGAGGGAUAACCCGUCGAAAGUCGGCCUAAUACCUCAUGGCAUCGUCUGCGGGCAUCCAACGACGAUUAAAGAUUUCAUCGGUCAGGGAUGGGGAUGCGUCUGAUUAGCUAGUUGGCGGGGUAACGGCCCACCAAGGCGACGAUCAGUAGGGGUUCUGAGAGGAAGGUCCCCCACAUUGGAACUGAGACACGGUCCAAACUCCUACGGGAGGCAGCAGUGAGGAAUAUUGGUCAAUGGGCGAGAGCCUGGACCAGCCAAGUAGCGUGCAGGAUGACGGCCCUAUGGGUUGUAAACUGCUUUUAUGCGGGGAUAAAGUGAGGGACGUGUCCUUCAUUGCAGGUACCG
rnacentral:rRNA from 1 species